AUCAAUGUACUUUGUAAUCUCCCCCACCCUUAAGAAGUUUCUUUGUAAUUCUCCCCACCCUUGAGAAUGUACCUUGUGAGAUCCACCCACUACCCACAAAACAUUGCUCCUAACUCCACCACCUAUCCUGAAACGUAUGAGAACUAAUGAUAAUCCCACCACCCUUUGCUGACUCUCUUUUCAGACUCAGCCUGCCUGCACCCACAUGAAAUAAACAGUCUUGUUGCUCACACAAAGCCUGUUUAGUGGUCUCUUCACACAGAUGCGUAUGACAUUUGGUGCUGAAGACCAGGGUCAGAGGGACUGCUUCAAGAGACCAGUUCCCUGUCCUCACCCUCACUCUGUGAAGAGAUCCACCUACAACCUCCGGUCCUCAGACCAACCAGCCCAAGGAACAUCUCACCAAUUUCAAAUCAGAUCUCCUCAGCUUAGCAGCUGAAGACUGACUCUGCCUGAUCACAUUGGAAGCCCCCUGGACCAUCACGGACGCCGAGCUUUAGAUGGAUUCUCGCUCUGUUGCCCAGGCUGGAGUCCAGUGGCGCCAUCUGCAAGCUCCGCCUCCUGGGUUCACGCCAUUCUCCUGCCUCAGCCUCCCCAGCAGCUGGGACUACAGGCGCCCGCCACCAUGCCCGGCUAAUUUUUGGUAUUUUUAGUAGAGACGGGGUUUCACCCUGUUAGCCAGGAUGGUCUCCAUCUCCUGACCUCGUGAUCCACCCGCCUCGGCCUCCCAAAGUGCUGGGAUUACAGGCGUGAGCCACUGCGCCCAGCCUAGAUACGAGGUUACACCAUGUGGCCCAAACUCCUGAGCUCAAACAAUCCUCCUGUCUUAGCUUCCGGAAGUUCUGGGAUUACAGACAUGAGCCACUGUACCUGGCUGACUCCUUCCCUUGAUACUCAACCUAACUUAGGAGUGCCCCACCUGGAAGACCUCCAAGCUGCUGUAACAUUACCUGGCCCACUCCACACUUCUGAUAUGGGAACCCUUGGUUCCUGUUUCCCUCUACACCACCCCCAUCCCCAUCACAGCAGUCAUUACCUGGAAAUACAUUGUGAUCCUGCCUGCUACAAGACAGAGCCAAAAUGUGGAUUUUCUCAAUUUUGUCCUCCUAGUAUCUCACACACAAACAUACACACACACAGAGGGACUCAGCCUAAAUAUUUGUUAAGUAAAUGUAUUCGUCCAUUCUCAUGUUGGUAAUAAAGACAUACCUGAAACUGGGUAAUUUGUAAAGAAAAAGAGCUUUAAUAGACUCGCAAUUCCACAUGGCUGGGGAGGCCUCAC
rnacentral:lncRNA from 1 species